rnacentral:rRNA from 1 species
AACGAACGCUGGCGGCAGGCUUAACACAUGCAAGUCGAACGGAUCCUUCGGGAUUAGUGGCAGACGGGUGAGUAACGCGUGGGAACGUACCCUUUGCUACGGAAUAACUCAGGGAAACUUGAGCUAAUACCGUAUGUGCCCUACGGGGGCAAGAUUUAUCGGCAAAGGAUCGGCCCGCGUUGGAUUAGCUAGUUGGUGGGGUAAUGGCCUACCAAGGCGACGAUCCAUAGCUGGUCUGAGAGGAUGAUCAGCCACACUGGGACUGAGACACGGCCCAGACUCCUACGGGAGGCAGCAGUGGGGAAUAUUGGACAAUGGGCGCAAGCCUGAUCCAGCCAUGCCGCGUGAGUGAUGAAGGUCUUAGGAUUGUAAAGCUCUUUCACCGGUGAAGAUAAUGACGGUAGCCGGAGAAGAAGCCCCGGCUAACUUCGUG